UACAGAGGUCCCAAGCGUUGUUCGGAUUCACUGGGCGUAAAGGGUGCGUAGGUGGCGAGGUAAGUCGGAUGUGAAAGCUCGGAGCUCAACUCCGAAAUUGCAUUGGAAACUACCUUGCUCGAGGGUUGGAGGGGGACUGGAAUGCUUGGUGUAGCAGUGAAAUGCGUAGAUAUCAAGCGGAACACCAGUGGCGAAGGCGAGUCCCUGGACAACUCCUGACACUGAGGCACGAAAGCUAGGGGAGCAAACAGG
rnacentral:rRNA from 1 species